rnacentral:rRNA from 1 species
GCAUAUCAAUAAGCGGAGGAAAAGAAACUAACAAGGAUUCCCCUAGUAGCGGCGAGCGAAGCGGGAAGAGCUCAAAUUUGUAAUCUGGCACCUUCGGUGUCCGAGUUGUAAUCUCGAGAAGUGUUUUCCGUGCUGGACCGCAUAUAAGUCUGUUGGAAUACAGCGUCAUAGUGGUGAGAACCCCGUACGUGAUGCGGAUGCCCAGUGCUUUGUGAUACACUUUCGAAGAGUCGAGUUGUUUGGGAAUGCAGCUCAAAUUGGGUGGUAAAUUCCAUCUAAAGCUAAAUAUUGGCGAGAGACCGAUAGCGAACAAGUACCGUGAGGGAAAGAUGAAAAGCACUUUGGAAAGAGAGUUAACAGUACGUGAAAUUGUUGGAAGGGAAACGCUUGAAGUCAGACUUGCGUAUUGGAGUUCAGCCGCAAGGUGUAUUCUUCAGUUUGCAGGCCAGCAUCAGUUUUUGGGGGUACAAAAGGGUGAAGGGAAUGUGGCAGCUCCGGCUGUGUUAUAGCCUUUCACUGGAUGUAUCUUUGGGGACUGAGGCAUGCAGCGCACUUUUUGCAAGACUCUUGAGUCUUUCUGCGCUUAGAUGCUGGUGGAAUGGCUUUAAACGACCCGUCUUGAAACACGGACCAAAA